rnacentral:rRNA from 1 species
CGGGUGGAGUACCGACCUAAUCCGCCACCGACCAGCACCGUCUAGCAGCGCCGCCGUCCGCUCCCUCCCGAUGCGUCCUCGCGCCCCUGUUGGCACACCACCCCGUGAGGGGCGGGCACCAGGGGCGCAGGCUCGAGAGUAACGGAGGCGACGCCACAGAUGCAGUCCUCCUCGGUCCCCAGGCAAGUAUCCCUCCCAGCCGGAGUCACCGAGCGAAGCCCCCGAAGAGAAGACGCUCAGCGACCGUUAACCCGGCCAAGGGAGUCCACACCGCCUGCGAAGGAACCGGUCGUGGCUCUCGACAAACCGGAGCAAGUGCACCCGUCUCAGCCACCGAUUCGAAGCGACCCCGUGUCAGGGACCCCCGUGAGGGAGCCCCUAACGGGGAGGCGCGGUGACGAGAAGAACGGGCUGAAUGCCCCGGGGACGAGCGACCUGG